AUUGAACGCUGGCGGCAGGCCUAACACCUGCAAGUCGAACGAGUGGCGGACGGGUGAGUAAUGUCUGGGACCCUGCCCGAUGUAGGGUGAUAACUACUGGAAACGGUAGCUAAUACCGCAUACCAUCGGAUGUGCCCAGAUGGGAUUAGCUCGUAGGUGGGGUAAAGGCUCACCUAGGCGACGAUCCCUAGCUGGUCUGAGAGGAUGACAAGCAAAACUGGAACUGAGACACGGUCCAGAGUCCUACGGGAGGCAGCAGGGGGGAAUAUUGCACAAUGGGAGCAAGCCUGAUGCAGCCAUGCCGCGUGUAUGAAGAAGGCCUUAGGGUUGUAAAGUACUUUAAGCGAGGAGGCGUUACUCGCAGAAGAAGCACCGGCUAACUCCGUGCCAGCAGCCGCGGUAAUAC
rnacentral:rRNA from 1 species